GUCCGCGGGGCGCUCCUCCGUGUAUAGUUAGUUAUUGGUGAGGAGUAGAGCGAGUAUUCGACUUUCGACUUUCCAAAAAGUUAUCAACCAUGCGCGCAAAGGAAAGUGUAUCUUGAUCUCCUUUUCAUCUUCAACCGCCAUAUGUACACACACAGUACGCACACACCACACCGCGAUGUACACUAGUAUGUUCCAUUAAUGCCUGGACCUGUCAUAAUGCAACUUGAACGGUCGGUAACAAUUGAUAUAGGUCCAGGCAUUAACUGUUUUAACUGCGAUAACAGAUCGCUAUUUGAGACAAGUUAUCUCAAUAAAGUGAAAAAAUUGUAAUUCGUGAUAUCACGAAUACAGUAUAUACCGCGUCGAAACUACGAUGGGGUUUCAUAAAUUCUUUCCAUGUCGUGGGUUUGACACUCCUCUUCUUCUUCCCAACUGACUGGCGUGUGCAUACAACUUGUGACAAGAUGCUCGGACCUCGUAACUCCUGUGCUUUGUUGAAAGAAACGCAUUAGCGAGUUCCAGUGCGAAAGUCAAUCAUUAUACCGAUCUUGCUGAUUUGAAAUGGACCGGCAGCCUACGCUAUGGCGAUACAGUUGUAUUGCCGCCCAUGGAGAAUGUCCCCGGUGGAUUCUUGUCGGCAACUGGAGACUGCAAAAUUUUGGAAAAUCCUUAUCCGACAAAGAAUAAGGGCAGCUGAGAAAGACCGCGGCGAUAAGGAAACAACGAUGAUGUACCCAUCCCUAUACUAUGCAACAAUUCCCACGAAAAUAGCCAAGCGUCACCAAAUAUAACAUUUUUUUAUUAUUCACCUAAAAACUACGAUUACGAAUCUCUUUCCAACGCUCAAUUAUUUCCAAUCGUAAGCAAAAGAUGGACAUCGACGUACAUAUUGUAAUUCUCCUCUAAUAAAAUUCAAACAGACCGAUUCCAAAA